rnacentral:rRNA from 1 species
GACGAACGCUGGCGGCGUGCUUAACACAUGCAAGUCGAACGGAAAGGCCCUGCUUUUGUGGGGUGCUCGAGUGGCGAACGGGUGAGUAACACGUGAGUAACCUGCCCUUGACUUUGGGAUAACUUCAGGAAACUGGGGCUAAUACCGGAUAGGAGCUCCUGCUGCAUGGUGGGGGUUGGAAAGUUUCGGCGGUUGGGGAUGGACUCGCGGCUUAUCAGCUUGUUGGUGGGGUAGUGGAUUACCAAGGCUUUGACGGGUAGCCGGCCUGAGAGGGUGACCGGCAAAAUUGGGACUGAGAUACGGACCAGAGUGGUACGGGAGGCAGCAGUGGGGAAUAUUGCACAAUGGGCGGAAGCCUGAUGCAGAAACGCGGCGGGCGGGAUGACGGCCUUCGGGUUGUAAACAGAUUUAGACUGUGACGAAGCGUGAGUGACGGUAAUGGGUAAAGAAGCACCGGCUAACUACGUG